GACUUCGGCAACGGAUAUCUCGGCUCUCGCAUCGAUGAAGAACGUAGCGAAAUGCGAUACUUGGUGUGAAUUGCAGAAUCCCGUGAACCAUCGAGUCUUUGAACGCAAGUUGCGCCCGAAGCCGUUAGGCGAGGGCACGUCU
rnacentral:rRNA from 1 species